rnacentral:lncRNA from 1 species
CCCGUCUCCUACCUCCCUACUGCCGCAUGCUGUCUCCGUCCUCUUCUUAUUUUGCCUAUCUAUCCAGCACUUGGGCCCAUUACUGCAGCCACCCCCUCUUAUCAUCCUCUUCUGUCCACUUCUUCACUAAUCGAGCCCGCUGCUCGCCUCCCUGCUGCUGUCACUCAUCUCUCCAUCGCUCGCUUCCCCACCCCUUUUUUUCUUUCGCCGCAGCAGCAGCCACCCCCUUUCCUCCUCCUCC